rnacentral:rRNA from 1 species
UACAGAGGAUGCAAGCGUUAUCCGGAAUGAUUGGGCGUAAAGCGUCCGCAGGUGGUUUUGUAAGUCUGCUGUUAAAGCGUUAGGCUCAACCUAAUAAGGGCAGUGGAAACUAUGAGACUAGAGUAUGUUAGGGGUAGAGGGAAUUCCCAGUGUAGCGGUGAAAUGCGUAGAGAUUGGGAAGAACACCGGUGGCGAAAGCGGCAUCCUGGACCAACACUGACGCUGAGUGAGCGAAAGCCAGGGGAGCAAACGGG